GCUUGUCUCAAAGAUUAAGCCAUGCAUGUCUAAGUACAAGCCUCAGUAAGGUGAAACCGCGAAUGGCUCAUUAAAUCACACCUAAUCUACUGGAAAGUUACUAGUUACUUGGAUAACUGAGGUAAUUCUUGAGCUAAUACAUGCGAAAAAUCUCGACUCACGGAGAGAUGCUUUUAUUAGAUUAAAAACCAAUGCCCCUCGGGGCUCUCUGGUGAAUCAUGAUAACUAGUCGAAUCGACAGGCCUUGUGCCGGCGAUGGCUCAUUCAAAUUUCUUCCCUAUCAACUUUCGAUGUUUGGGUAUUGGCCAAACAUGGUGGCAACGGGUAACGGAGGGUUAGGGCUCGACCCCGGAGAAGGAGCCUGAGAAACGGCUACUACAUCCAAGGAAGGCAGCAGG
rnacentral:rRNA from 1 species